UACGGAGGGUGCAAGCGUUGCUCGGAAUUAUUGGGCGUAAAGGGUAGGUAGGUGGUCUUAUUUGUCUGGGGUGAAAUCCUUGGGCUUAACUCAAGAAGUGCCCCAGAAACGGUGAGACUAGAGUACUGGAGAGGCGAGUGGAAUUCCCGGUGUAGCGGUGAAAUGCGUAGAGAUCGGGAGGAACACCUGUGGCGAAGGCGGCUCACUGGACCACAACUGACGCUGAGGCGCGAAAGCUAGGGGAGCAAACAGG
rnacentral:rRNA from 1 species